rnacentral:rRNA from 1 species
GACAGAGGGUGCAAACGUUGUUCGGAAUUACUGGGCGUAAAGCGCGUGUAGGCGGUUGCCAAAGUCGGGUGUGAAAGCCUUGAGCUCAACUCAAGAAUUGCACUCGAUACUUGGUGACUAGAGGACCGGAGAGGAUAGUGGAAUUCCCAGUGUAGUGGUGAAAUACGUAGAGAUUGGGAAGAACACCAGUGGCGAAGGCGGCUAUCUGGACGGUUUCUGACGCUAAGACGCGAAAGCGUGGGGAGCAAACAGG